UUCUCUGUUGUAUUCUCCAUUCUGUCUAUUGUGUUUGAGAUCAGAGUGACACUAUAAAAGAGUGGGAAGCAAUAAUUGAAAGUGAAUCUAACACCAAAAAAGAAGCUGAAAGGGAAGAAUUGAAUGCUUACCCGCAGAUUUUUUGUUGCUGAUAUCGGCCACGUGUGUUCAAAGAAUUAAGAUCGAAUAAUGUGUCUUGGUGAUCAUGAAGACACGAGGUGAUGCAAUUGUUGCUGGAAGCAGUAGUUGGCUGAGUGUAGUAAUUUAAUGUUGUUAGGUGGUGGUGGCACGUUUAAUAAUUCAUUAAGUGUGGUCCCUCGAAGUUUUAGGGAUUUAGGGUCACGUGUUUAUUAAAUUAAGAUAUAUUAUUAGGAACAUCAUAUUAGUCUCUGUCUUUGUGUCGCCGUUUGAUCUAGGUCCCUUGCCGGAAAACUUAUUGUAAAUGGUCCUCAUGUUUGAAAUAUUUUUGGAGCGGAUCAUCGCCGGAGGUCGGAGCUCCGAUAAAUGCUUAAAUGACAUGCUGACUGUGAUCAAAAUGCUUAUGGGGAUUUUUAAACAAAAAAAAUGAAAAAUAAAUUACACAUCAUAAAAUUUAAAAAAUUAAAAAAACCCAAAUUACCCCAAAUUAAUUAAUUAAAAUUAAACUUAUUAAGUAAAACAUUAAAAAUCCCAGUUCUCCUAAUACCUAUUUUAAUUCUGUCAAAACAUCAUCUUUCAUUCUUCUUCAUACUUGCUAUUGUGAAACAUGAAACAAAAGGACAAAAAAAUUCUUUCUAAUUGCCGAUAGGCUAAACCCCAUUCAAUUGGGAGAAUAGUCACUUUGGUCCCUAAAGUUACACCAGUCGGGCAAAUUCGUCCCUAUUCUUCCAAAAUGGCUCCCGUCGUCCCUGAAGUUUGAAAACGUCGGUCACGUUGGUCCCUACCUCAGCUACCGUUAAUAAACGUUAACAGAGAUGAUGAGUUGGCACGUUAAGUGCUCUGAUGGCCAAGUCAGUCCUCAAUGUUUCUUACAACAGGCAAUUCAGUCCAU